rnacentral:lncRNA from 1 species
CUAUUUCAGAAUAAUUUAUUUCUGUUUUUUUUCUGUCAUGAAGGAGAUUGUUAGAUCAAGAGAUUAUAAACACAUUACAAGGCAUAUGAUAGCUUUUUUAAAGUCCACAGAAAUAAUUAGUCUUGAGUCAUAACUUUCUUGUUCAAGGAAUGAUAAUUCUUGUGCAAUGAAGAUCUGUGUGUCUGUACUCUCUAAUGCUUUUUGCAGUUUGGUUCAGAUGGAUUACCAUUGCCACUUUGUCAUUUUUCUGUUCUUCACAGGUAUUUCCAGCUCUACCAAGCAUAACAAAUGAAUCAGGACUCAGAUAAACUAACAUAUGGCUUUUUUUUGUUUAUUUUAAGGGGGUUUUUUGGUCAGAAAAAAAAAUCUUGUGUGGACUUCUUAAGAAACUGCAACAGAAAACACAGCAUCACUGGUUCCUUUUUAUAUUUGUCAUUGAGAAGAGAACAUGUUAUAGCUGUGACCACAGGUGCAAGUGCAGUGUCAAUUCCAUUUCAUAAAUGUGAGCAUAUAUUUAUCUUUGAAAACCAUCUAUAGAAAGAGGUUAUUGUUGCUGCAUUGCUUCAGCCAAGACUUGGCAGAACUAAGCCAACCCCUGGCUUAGGGCUAGAAGAUCACAGACACCAAUAUGGAGGAUGACCAAAUAGCGUUUUAUUAAACAACAGCAGGCAUUAUAUGCCUUUCGGCCACACGGAAGUACCUAUGCUGACCCAAUCAGAAGGCAGGUUAACAAUUUUUACCUUUUAUGGUAUUGCUGAGCCUCGCCCCACAAUUCCCCUCUCCAUGCUAUGGGGCUUGUGAGAGUAUCCGGGGAGGGGCUCUCUCUUUCCGUACAUCGCGAUAUCUUCCGGCCGCCAGACCUUAACUACCUACAUUUCCCCCUCCCCAUGCACAAAUAAGGUGAUUAAGAUAAAACAAUCCUAAAAAUACAUAUCAUAAAACUUGGUGCAAACCUAGCAAAUGUGUGCUGUUUCUACGCUAUUUUUUACAAAAAUUUAGAAAUAUACAUCAUAAGUUUAGAUAGAAAAUAUAAGGCACGCUAAACAGGAUAACUGGGGGACAACUGAGAGUAGUGGUGUAUAACUAGGGAUAGCUAAAAGGAAUUUCAAACGGAAAUAGUCUUAGAGCAAUCGUUGAUGUGCUAUUAACAUAAUGCUAACACUCUCUGGUCGACUUUUAACAAAUGAAACGAGCUUGACAGCGUCCAAAAAUCACUGCUAUUACAAUCAUUGUGAUUGGUCCCAUUAGGUAGACAUCAGGGUGGUCAGCCAUGGUGAAUGGUUAAACCAUGACGUAAACCAACCUUGCUGUGCCUCUCGUUCCCUCUUUCGUUUUUCCAAACCUUUCCGCAAUUUAGCCAUAGUGUCUCUUACUAUUCCGGUGUGGUUUGCAUAUACACAACACUCUUCCUCUAGUGCAGCGCACACUCCCCCUUGCUGUAGAAGCAUCAGGUCUGAUCCUCUUACUUGUCAUCUUCAUUCGUCACUGAGACGUACGGGUUGCGAGGGCAUCCGACAAUCCAUACCUUAAUCGUUACAUCCAUGCUCGCGAGCUACACCUCUGCCCUCCGAACGAAUCACGUCGGGGUCACCACUUGUUGCUGCGUUGCUUCAGCCAAGACUUGCAGAACUAAGCCAGCCCCUGGCUUCGGGCUAGAAGACCACAGACACCAAUAUGGAGGAUGACCAAAUAGC